rnacentral:tRNA from 1 species
GAGGGUGUAGCUCAGUGGUAGAGCACACGCGUAGCAUGCAUGAAGUCCUGGAUUCAACCCAGUGCCUCCG